GACGGCAUCCCCGGCAAAGCCUAUCAAGGGCGUAGGGACCCUCUUGAGUUGGUCGGUUGACAGCCGCAUCCGGGAGAAGGUCGAGUAAAAUAAAACGUUUGUUGAACUUCCAUUAUCUACAAAAAUUCUCUUUACAUCAUAGUUUGCUAUUGUUGCCGAGACAACAACAGCGUCAUCGUGGGGAGUUUGGAUGCCCCGAACGUCUUCUUCCGUAAAAGUAAUCACGUCGUCCGGGCGCAGCUUUUUCGUCGGCUCCCCUCCUACCGACGUCCCCGGGCCG
rnacentral:lncRNA from 1 species